rnacentral:rRNA from 1 species
AUUGAACGCUGGCGGCAUGCCUUACACAUGCAAGUCGAACGGCAGCGGACCUUCGGGUGCCGGCGAGUGGCGAACGGGUGAGUAAUGCAUCGGAACGUGCCAUUGAGUGGGGGAUAACGUAGCGAAAGUUGCGCUAAUACCGCAUAUUCUGUGCGCAGGAAAGCAGGGGACCGCAAGGCCUUGCGCUCUUUGAGCGGCCGAUGUCAGAUUAGCUAGUUGGUGAGGUAAAGGCUCACCAAGGCGACGAUCUGUAGCGGGUCUGAGAGGAUGAUCCGCCACACUGGAACUGAGACACGGUCCAGACUCCUACGGGAGGCAGCAGUGGGGAAUUUUGGACAAUGGGGGCAACCCUGAUCCAGCCAUGCCGCGUGAGUGAAGAAGGCCU